AUAAAGGGGGCUCGGGGGUCUAAAUCAAUUUUUUUUAUUUAAUAUAGGAUUUCUCAAUAUUUUUCUAUAAAUGAACUUUAUCUUAUACCUAAUAGAAAAAUAAAAUAAAAUAAUGGGAUCACCGUUCAUUUACGCUCACAAUCUGCCUUCGAAAGAAGCAUACAUUUUUGUUAAUGUCCCUUUUUUCUGUUGAACUAAUAGCAGAAAUACCGGUAAUAUCGAAAUAAAAAAAUAACUAAAUUACAGAAAUCGCUUAAAUUUUACAAUUAUUUACUUUAUGUACAGCUUCUUUGAAAACAACAAUAUAAAAUAUAGGUCACCGAUGAGUUAAAAAAGAUAUUUCAAUUUUAAUGCCAAAAAAUGGCAUUUUUGCACCAAAGGGAGAUAAUUUGGAGCAUUUUUAAUGAUAUCUACAUUUUAAAAGUCACCUGGGGCCAACACGAAUUGAUUUUUUGGAAUGAUUUUUGUACCAUAUGAUAAAGUCACAACUACUACAGGUAAUAAAUAAAAUUUGUAAUGAAAAAUAAAUCUUUAAUUUUUUUCUGAAAAUCUUAUACCCG
rnacentral:lncRNA from 1 species